AAUACAAGGUGACAAGAAGAAGAGGAGGGCUGUUGCUGUGGCCCACUUUGUCGAUGGCAAAGUUUCCUGUCUGUGCCUCCCUCAGCCCUUGUUCCUGCCAUGACUGACUUGGAGUGGCUAUGGCAGUACUGCUUUCUAGUGGUUUUCACAUGAUUGGCUCAGGCUUUUUGGGGAUGACAUCACUUCCUUAGUGGUGGGUGCAGCUGUGCCCCUAUGGUGGAGUUUACAAAUUGCAUCUAUGGAGGUACAGUUGGGUUGGCCAAAGUUACCGAUUAUACCAAGUAGUGAUAAAUCUGUUAUCCACAUCCUAAUUACUGAAGUGAGAGAGAAUCCCCUGCUCUACCUACCAAUAUUGUGAGCAAGAAGCACAAACUACAGCCCACAACCUGCCAGCUGCUGUUCACUGCCCUCUCCAACAACCUUAUGCAAGAGGCUACGGAGACAAGUUCUUUUCACCAAAUGAUGCCUACCUUCAAUUUCAAUAAUACUUGAAUAUUUUGUCAAUUUUCUGCACUGGGUUAACCCUUUCAGUCCCCAAUGUUUUUACAUUUUUAUCUUGGUCUUGUGCCACUUGUGCUUGGCUGUGGCUCAUCAUCAGGUGUGAGCCUUUUACGGUAGUGAACCACUGAGCACAAUCCUGGUUGACCUGGACACACAGGGCAGUGAUACCUUGUAUCCUUUUGUUUAAGGUGACACACACUAUGUGGUUUAAACAAAAACAAAAAAAAAUCCAUCUCCAAAUCUGUAUAUAAUUCCUUUUCAAACUCAUAUGUAUAUACGGAUAGAAUUAUUGGAAUAAAAAUACUGAAAGAAAAAAAAUGUGGUUUAAACCCCCCCCACACACACACACACACACGCACAUUAAAAAAAUGUUUAUAACAUGUUUUACUUAUGCUCACUGUUUUCAACAGUUGUUCAUUGACUGCAGAAAUAUAUAAUUACAUUACGUAGGAAAAUUUCUCGUGAACACAAUAGUGUGAUCAGAAUGCAGUUAAAGCUCUACGUAUUGAAAACACAGUUAUUUAUAGCAACAUUUUCACUCGCCCUAACCAUCACGGCGCGCGAGACACCCUGUAUGAUGUUAAAAAAAAAUGAGUGUCGCGCGCGCCAUGAUGGUUGGGGCAAGUGACAUGUUGCUAUAAACAACCCUGUGUUUUCAAUAUGUGGAGCUUCAUCUGCAUUCUCAUCACACUAUCAUGUUCAUGAGAAAUUUUCCUACGUCAUGUAAUAAUAUAUUUCUGCAGUCAAUGAACAACUGUUUAAAAUAGUGAGCAUAAUUAAAACAUGUUAUAAAUUUUUUUUUUUUAACAUCUUCACAGUUCAACUCAUCAUUAUACCAUUUUCUUUUUUGUUUUGUCGAGUUUUUAAAAUACAUUUUGAUUCUACAGUCACUGCUGGGUCUGAUGGUGUCAACCAAAACUGGCUUGCUCGUAUAUGAGUUGAGCUAUGGCAUAUAAUAAAGAAACAUGUCUCACUCAAGCAUGCAAGAUGUGGUCCGACAUGAAUGUUAGCGGGAGAGCGGAGCAGCCAAUCAGCUGCAAGCUUACCAACCUGCCUAGGUGCCAGGAAUCUAGCUUAAGUGAACAGACUAUAGCUUUGCCUGCAAUCUCUCUCACAUGAAGAUGCAACUUGAGAGAAGAAUCAAUUCUGACCCCAAGAUCUUUGUGGUUGUCAACAUCUAAAAUAGGUUGCUCACCAAUGAAGUACUGCAAGAGAGCAGGUGCAUCUUGGAAACUUCUACGAAAGUUCAUUCUGACACAUUUGCCAAUUGAAAAAGACAAACCCCAAGAUCUACUUGUAUUGAAAAGUAGAUUAAUAUCCCUCUGCAGAUGAAGAUGGGAAAUUAAAUGGUCAGAUUUUGAUAUUACCGAGGCUAAAAGUAACGAGGUUAUCAGCAGAGAGACAAAAUCACUGAACCCUGUGGGACACCGCUACCAAUCUCAACUUGAUAACUCACAGCCAUGCCCAACCAUAUUCAUUUCCCUCCCAGUCAAGUAAUCACUCAGCCAGCCCAGCAAACAUCCUUCAACUCCAAUGCUACCCAGCACACAUCCUUCAACUCCAAUGCUACCCAGCAAACAUCCUUCAACUCCAAUGCUACCCAGCAAACAUCCUUCAACUCCAAUGCUAGCUAACAUCUGAAGUAACAGUCUAUGGUUGACAACAUCAAACACCUUCUUAAAGUCAAAAUAUAUAACAUACACUGAAUCAUAGUGAUCAGUAACAUAGUCAUAAGUGUAUAAUAAUUGCUCAGACACUGACCUGCCUGAUCUAAAAUCAUAAUGAUAAGGUGAAAGUAAUUGACUGUUCCAAAUGGGCAGACAAUUGUGAGACUAUAAUUCUCUCAAAAGAUUUUGAGCACACAGAUGUCAGGCUUAUAGGUCUGUUAUUAAGAGGAUCAGAAUGAACUCCCCUUUAAAUAGUGGAAUUACAUCAGCAUUUUUCCAGUCUGAGGAGAGACGCAUUGAUGAAAGAGAUUUUCUGAAUAAUAGCAACAGAGGGUAACUAAUAGAAGGGGCACAUUUUUUAAAAAAGACUGAAGGAAUACCAUCAGGGCCAGAACAAGCAGAAGGUUUUAAAUGAGCCAAAAUAUUCACUAUUUGAAAAUAUCAAAACUAUAGACGAUGAAUAUAAAUUUAUUAUCACACUGCUGUAAAGCAUAAGGAUUAAACAAGAACUCU